GAUACUGUAGAGAUACCAAGGUAGAGAAAACCCUCUACAUGUAUUCAUUCAUUGACUCCAUAUAUCAUAUUUUCUUCUCUCUCGAAGCUGAAAGACUUCACUGCAGAACACCUGGUGUCUCUUCUGAAAUGUAACCUGCCCGGCAACUCCUCUCACUCCAAAGAGACGUGGAAGGUUCUCCUCACCAAACUGACCUCUGUCUUAGACCAAGCUCUGGACAUGUUCUCCAAUAUGUCCAAACCUGUGAUUGGUCCAGCAGUAUCGCAGGCGCUGGAUGUGAUUGGAGAGAUUCGGGGUCAACAGGCUGACUGAGGAUCAGCUGAGAGACAGUGAUGUCAUCAGGAAGUGGUUCUCGGGCCGUCUGAGGGUGUUCCUGCCGUCUGCAUCAGCAGUGUUUCUGCACUGCCUCAGCACCAAGAACCUGAGCUGUGACUCGUAUCAACAGAUACUGAGGGAGUUCAGCAAUCAAUUUGACCAAAUGGACCAGAUGAGACAAGAGCUGGUGGUCAAAUACUUCAUCCAGCCCUUCCUGACCAAAAACUCCUCAGGUAUGGAAGAUAGCAACUAGAGUAAAAGCAGCAAACUGUUCCUCGUCUUCAUUUAAUCUUUGACCUUAACCAAUUGGUCUCCUCCCUCCAGACUCUGGCUGUGUGUCCAACUCUAACAGCAGUGUGGACUGGCUGCAGAAGAACCUGGGGCGGUUUUCAGUCCUGCUGUCCCUCAGCGACCUGUUGAAUCUCAACACAGACUUCUCUCCUUUGUCAGCCCUGGAGGUUCUCUCUCCAAAGCAGACAGCAGAGCUGGUGGUGUUGCCUCUUCCUGGUCUUCCAGGGAAAGAUGUCAUCAUCAACACAGUGUUUGACUUCCUGUCUAAGUCACCAAAGGAGAGGAGACUCCCUGACUUCCUGUACCACCUCUCCAGGCUGUCUGUGGUGGUAAUGACCCCAAAGAUUAUUAGUAAACACCUUAUAAAGCUGUCUUUGAGUUAACUGAAAAAAACAUUGUAGUCUUGCUUCAAUAUGUUGAUGUUAACUUCUAUCCUCUCCCCAGACUCCAGUCGGCUGCACGGUCUACCAGACCAUGUAAGUC
rnacentral:lncRNA from 1 species